UACAGAGGUCCCGAGCGUUGUUCGGAUUCACUGGGCGUAAAGGGUGCGUAGGUGGUGGGAUAAGUCGGAUGUGAAAUCUCGGAGCUUAACUCCGAAACUGCAUUGGAAACUGUCCUGCUAGAGGGUUGGAGGGGGGGACUGGAAUACUUGGUGUAGCAGUGAAAUGCGUAGAUAUCAAGUGGAACACCGGUGGCGAAGGCGAGUCCCUGGACAACACCUGACACUGAGGCACGAAGGUCAGGGGAGCAAACGGG
rnacentral:rRNA from 1 species